AUGGCGCGUCAGGGUGAUCCAUCUGCAUCAGGCUCAAAGGGGAAGGAUAAGCUGGAGGCACUCAUGAAAGAGUUAGCUCUGAAGGACGAUGACCUUGAUGAUGUGGUUUUCGAUGAGGAUGAUGCCCCAGCGGAAGAGGACCUGCGUUGGAUGAUCCUAUCUCGUGUUCAUAUGGACAAAAGUUUCAGCACAUAUUGGUUCUUUCGCAAUAUGAGAUCAGCUUGGGACCUGGCGAGGCCGGUUAAGAUCAAAACACUUGAGGAAAACUUGUUUCAGAUGCAGUUCAACUGCUUGGGCGAUUGGGAG
rnacentral:rRNA from 1 species